rnacentral:rRNA from 1 species
UGGGGAAUUUUGGACAAUGGGCGAAAGCCUGAUCCAGCAAUGCCGCGUGUGUGAAGAAGGCCUUCGGGUUGUAAAGCACUUUUGUCCGGAAAGAAAUCCUUGGCUCUAAUACAGUCGGGGGAUGACGGUACCGGAAGAAUAAGCACCGGCUAACUACGUGCCAGCAGCCGCGGUAAUACGUAGGGUGCAAGCGUUAAUCGGAAUUACUGGGCGUAAAGCGUGCGCAGGCGGUUUGCUAAGACCGAUGUGAAAUCCCCGGGCUCAACCUGGGAACUGCAUUGGUGACUGGCAGGCUAGAGUAUGGCAGAGGGGGGUAGAAUUCCACGUGUAGCAGUGAAAUGCGUAGAGAUGUGGAGGAAUACCGAUGGCGAAGGCAGCCCCCUGGGCCAAUACUGACGCUCAUGCACGAAAGCGUGGGGAGCAAACAGGAUUAGAUACCCUGGUAGUCCCACGCCCUAAACGAUGUCAACUAGUUGUUGGGGAUUCAUUUCCUUAGUAACGUAGCUAACGCGUGAAGUUGACCGCCUGGGGAGUACGGUCGCAAGAUUAAAACCUCAAAGGAAUUGACGGGGUCAUAGCUG